GGAUGGAUCGCGCGCGGCUACUGGCGCCCGAGCCCGCCGAGGCUGCCGCCGCGACCCCGGCGCAGGAUGCCGCCCGCUCCGCAGUCGGAGGGGAAAAGGAACGCGCGGCCCGGAGCUCCGGCGAUAGAGGAGAGAACUGUCACCACCAGAGGAAAUGACUCAGACACAUUCAAUAGCCUCAUGGGAUAGAGCACACACAGUGAAUGGAGCUGUGAGGCCAACCGUGCUACUGCCUGAGCUGUUCACCAACCUUAUCCAACUGGAGAGCAACCACUUUCAGGUCACCUCGCCAGGGAGCCUCUGCUGACUUCUACAAGCAGCCUGCUUCCUGACCUUUAAAGGCCCAGAGACCUUUCAUUUGACAUGGUGAAUGUACAAACCAUGGACUAUCUAAAAAUAUUCCUCAGCCCGGAUGGUGUGGUUCAGUGGUUGAACACGGAGCUAUGAACUGGGAGGUCAUGGUUCUAUUCCUGAUGAUCAACUUAAGAUGAGGUCAUUAACAUGGAAAAUGUAGACACAGCAAUGCGCACACAGGGAAAAUGCCAUGCGAACGUGAAAGCAGAGAUCGGGGUGAUGCAUGGACAAGCGGAGGACCGCCGACGACUGCCAGCAAAGCACCAGAAGCCAGGAGAGAGGCUUGGAACAGGCUCCGGCACAGCCCUCAGAAGGAACCAACCCUGCUGACACCUCAAUUUUGUACUUUUAGCCUCCAGAACCAGAAGAGAAUAAAUUCCCGAUAUUUUAAGCCACCCAGUUUGUGGUAGCUUGUUACAACAGUGCCAAGAAACUAACAGCUCAUUCCACGUUACGUGUAUAAUCAUCUACUUUGCUACGGUUCCGUGCGUCCCUGGUGCACACCUAGCCUGCCCUGGAGCAGGCUGGGUGCUUGCAUGUGCGCAGCCCUGCAGCCCUAAGGGCAGUCUACGCCAGCAGUAGGAGGUGGAGCCAAGGUUAGCUUUGCCUUUUGUGCCUCCCUGGAUUGCGUCCCCACUGCUCUUCUGCGACCCUGGGCAGGAAAGAAUGUCUUCCAUACACUCCUUCAGAAGGAGGUGCUGCUGAGUAAAUAAAUUUCCCCUCCCAUGUGAAUUAAUCACACUUGACAGGUGAAAUCUCAAAUACCUGGGUGCCUCCUUGGAAAGAUUUUAGAUCAAGACCCCCCAGGUCCCCACAGCCCAUGUGCACGCCCUGCACGCUGUGCAUCGCGCUCUGCACCCAGAUGGCCAAGUUGCUGGAGCCCGGGGGGAUGCUUU